CUCCAAGAGCUAAUUAAAGCUCUAACAUCAAUGAGGAUGUUGUGAAAUAAGUGAGGGAGAUGGUAAAAUCCCACCCUAGUCCCACGUCAGCUAAGAAUAUGAAACUCGUGGGAAGUAUAACUGGUCGGGUCACUAGAACCAUGCUACAUACCAAUACCUGGUCCAUUACCGUUACAACCGUAGAACACAAGAAGUUUGUUCAAUUGACCAAUGGCAAUAACCAGGUAUGUUACCGUUACAAGUAAGUUUACUGUUACCUCUGCAGCUUUUUGGUCGUUCCAACUUCCCACCCGCGUGGCUAACCAAUUGACCACUAAGGCACUAACAAAAGCUUAUGCUGACAGUACGAAUUUUAUUACUAAAAUCAAUCAACUUAUGGAACACAGUAUACCCACCAGAGUCUUCAACAUGUAGAGUAUACUCUUCACAAACAGAAAGGAGGGGGAAAAACCACAAGAGAAUCCCACACAGAAAUGAAAGAUCAACUUCAGAAAUCGAACAGACUCAACCCAAUCCCAACCAUAACAAACUCAGCAAAUCAUCAAACAAGUCCCACCACAUAA